AUUAUUUUUGGUUGACACAUAGCAAAAUCGGGAGAGCCCAGAGGCUUCGGGAGAAAAAAAGAGAAGAGAGAGAAAGAAAAAGGAGAGGAGAGUUCUGGAGAAGGAGAGUAAGCUCGAGAGAGAGAGAGAGAGAAAACGAGAGCUCGGUGCUCUCAGAACCGAAACACGACUCGACCGAGGAAACCCAGCCAGAGCGCCGACCUCCGGCCACCGAUCGACGACGCAAGACCCCCAGUCCCUCCGACUAGUCGACGCCGUCGCGCCUGUGGCCUUGGAUCGCCCGUGCACGGGACGAGGAGGGCGACUCGACGGUGAAAAGUGGUGACUGCUCUGGCGAGUUUCCGCCAUUUCCGGCCACCGUCUGAGCUUCUUGUGCUUUUCCGACUAUCCUGGCCUUGGCUUCCACUUCGACUACUCCUGUAGACGAGGAAUCGAGAAGUUUUCUGGAUUGUAGAGCGAGAUCCGUCAGUUCAUCUCCAUUCCAGUUUCAACAGAGAGCUCGGGAAGCUGAGUUUGAAUGACUGAAGUGGGAUUCCGAUUUUCCGAGGUAUAAUCUCGAUCUGAUGUUACAAAUGGUACUCGGGGAUAAUCAGAUAUUCCACCCUAGACUCCAUUACCUUCGAUCCUUGUAUGGAAAAAUAUACUUACAAGUUCGAUCCUCAUCCAAGACCCGAGAUUUUCCACCCUAGACUCCAUUACCUUCGUCGCCUUCGUCUUCACAACUCGAGGACCUGAAAGAGAUGGAAUUUUUAUGGAAGGUCAAAUCUAAAGCUUCUAUGGAAGGUCAGACUAGAGAGUAGCAAAUAGCACACCAUCAAGAAAAUUUUACAUGGGAAACAUGAACUUAACUCGACCUCCUACCCUCAUUUUCAUUGUUGCAGCUUGGUUCUCCAUACAAAGUCCCAGUUUUCUAUUGCUCUCUCUCUUCACAAGUUUCUUUCAGAGAAUAGGGUGAGGUUCUUGCUGAGAUCUGGAAGGAAAUAUGAGCAAGCUUUCAAAGCUAGUUGCAUUUGUGGAAGUCGUUCAGUUUGAUUUAUUGGCAUAACACCAAAAGCCAGAUUCUCCUUCAGGUCUCUCUCUCAAAACUGACUAGCCUGGAAUUAAGGCCACAUGCUAUUGAGAGUUGUUAUCUGUCAAAAUAUCAGGUUUGGGAAUAUCUAGUGAAAUGUUGCCUAAAGAGUCACUAAGUGAUCAAGCAUGGAAUACCAAGCAAUGAAGUAAAAUAUAUUUUCUUUCAUCAUGUAAAUUCAGCUAGCUAGGAAACUUUAUAGCAAUGACAUGUUACUUGGAUUCAAUAUCUGGUGGAUAUAUUGGAAUUUUAUUGAUGUAUCACAUUGCUUUUGGCGUAAAUAUUAAUCAUUGUUCAUUGGAUAA